AGAACUUGUCUUAUGGUUUCUCCCAAUAACCACAACUUAUAUGGAAAGCAUUCAGUGAGAGGAAAGUCUCGGGGUGAGUGAGGUCAACUUAUAAUUAGAUAUUAUUUCAUAUUAUUGAAGUGAAGUGAGUCAACAUCCUAUACAUUUCUUCAUGACUCUGUAAGUGCAACUCUUUUUUGUUUUCUAGAUUUUUUUUUGUUGUUUGGUUUUAAGGUGAGACGGCAUGCAGUAAAUCCUCAUGGUUUGAUAUUUUUUCGUAUUUCGUACAUAACAAGAGUUUUUAUAUAUCGAGGUGCCCCAGUUUUGAUUUUUAGUGUUCAAAUCUAUUUGAUCUUGUACUGAUUCUACUCUUAUCUAAAUUUCAAAAUUCCUCGUUUCUGACAAUUUGAAUUUUGUUGUUAUGGAUGAUUGAACCUCGGAUUGUGUAAAUGCACGCUUUCAGUAUGUAUUAGUAAUUGAUAUGUAUAUUAUCGGAAGAAUUAAUUUAAAUAGAUGUUCACUCAAUCGCUUAAACUAAAAAUAGUAAUGCAGAUGUAUAAUAGAGAAGUGCAAGUCAAAUAUAAGUAUGUGUGAAACCAAGAUGUAUAAUAGAAGUGUAAGUAAUAUAUAAGUAUGUGUGUAACCACGCACCCAAGGGUGUAACCUAGUUGGUCAAUGAAGUGGAUUGUAAACUUGAGGUUUAUAUUCAAAUUCAAGCAAAGAUAAAAAAAACUCAUAUGUGUCCUAGCUUUGCUGGACAGAGCUACCUAGAUAUCUUGUAGAUUAGGUCAAGGUGCGAAAAACUCCGAUAUCAUGGUUAUCAAGAAAAGAAGUGUAUGAUCAUAUUUAAUUAGUGUAUAGUUUAUGUACUACAGCAUAUUUGUUUCCUGUUCUUCUGUCUCUUCUGUAUGUUUACUUGUUAGUUGUUAUGGUGAAGUCAAAAUAUUUUUGCUAAAAAUGUUUAACAUUUAGUAAUUAUAUAUGUAAAGUAAUUUUUGAAUUAUAUAUACACAAGUAUAAUUUUCUUUAAAUACGAUGUGAUUUUCUUGUAAAGGUUGUUCAAUUUCAGUGUAUUGGCCAUGCAUUGUUGGUAGCCAUUCAGUGGAUACUAAAUUGUAUAAUAUUCAACAAUUCCUCGAUGAGGAAAGGUAUCCGUCCGCCCAUCGUUUUACUAGCCAACUAUAUAUUUUAAUUAUUUUAAGUCAUAUCUCGUCACAGGUUGCCUUCUCAGUAUCGUGGCUCACACCAAAAUCGUGUUUUAUCCAUGGAUAUCCAGUAAAGUUCAAUAGUAUCACACAUGAUACUAGCCACGUAUCUCUAAAUAUAUAUAAAGGGUAUGAAUUCAUUGCAGUAUAUUGCUCUUCAAUUUUUUUUAAAAAAACUUUAAUUUGAAGAAUUCAGUCAAAAGGAGGGAAAAAACUGUUAGGCUCGCCAAGGCCAAGCUUCGGACAUUUUUUUUUUUUCUUGAAGUUUAAUUUUUAUGCACGUCGCUAGCAUCACUUACCAGAAAUCCAAAAUGUUCCUAAUUGUCCAGACGUAAGUUAAAAACAAUCUCCAAAGAAAUAAAGAGGGGCAUUUGCACAAAUAACCUUUUUCAAGACAACCAUUUAUGCGUUGUUUCCCCUUAGCCCAGUAAGAUAAUAAAUAUGUUUGUAAUUAAUGGAAAAUUCAUCCAAGGCGAAAAUAAAAUGUGUCCUCAAUCCAAAGAAUACUGCAAAGAAUGAUAUGAUAGAGCAAAUUUCAAAGAGUGAAUGGUAGUAACUCAUAGCAUAAGAAUUUCAAACUAUGUGAAGCAGUUGUAGCAUAUAGUGUGUAGAGUAUUCCUCAAGAAUGAGUUUAAUUCUCAAAAAUAAAGGCAUAAGCCCAUAUAACUCCCCUCUCGAGUCGUAUAUGUCAAGUACAGAAAUCAAUUAAUCAUCAUCCAAUAGAAACAAGUAAUAAGAUCAUGUGACAUGCAACAAUAACACUGAAUAUAUAGAACUGCGAAGCAAACAGAUGAAUAAUUAGGUUUAUUGAAACUGCACGUAUUAGCUAUUUCUGGAAACACCUUGACUUUAUGAUAAUUUUGCAGGUUAUUCCCUUGGAGCCUCUACAAGGAACUAUUUGACAAAUACAAGGAUAAUCACAAGAGGAAAUUCAGGGUCACUCUCUGUGGUGGAAGGUCAGACAUUUCAUUCACUUUUCUAUUUUUCUUCAUCCCAGCUAUCUGCAAUAUGGGCAUAAUGCAUAUUGUUUGUUAGAAAAAAACAUGGAAGAGGUCUAAUUUGUCAUAGCAGAAUCUAAGAAAACUUUGGUGAGGUAACACUUUACAUUGUCCUCCAGAAGUUUGUUUUCCUCUCGCAGCAGUUUUUCCUGCAAUAAUUAAGGGAUAUUGAUAAUGUGCAGUCUGAUGGAAAAUUUCACAUGAUAUAAUUCAUCCUUAAACAAUAAAAGAUAUAUGAUGACAGCUGUUGAUUACAAAGCUACAUAGUGCUGUAGAAAGCAGGGGAGGGCUAUUAACUUGAAGGAGUGGAGACAAUUAUAUGAGAUUUGAUCAGAGAUGCCUAGAGUAUUAAGUCCAAUAGUCAAUUAAGUCUUAACAUACUUUAUUCUAUCGAGAAACUACGAGGACAAGUGAAUGUUCUGUGCCUCUUUAUACUCCUUUUCCAAAAUAAGCUAAUCUAGUAUAUUAAGCUUACGCAAUUUGUGACUGACAUUAGCAUGCAAGAGCUACUGACUAGUCAGUUGAAAACUAUGUUGCUCGGACCCUCCAAAAAUUUUUGCCGCACUCUUGUUGGAUCCUCCAAAAACGCAUAGCUUUUGAAGGAUCCGGCACACACCAGGCGAUACUUCUGAAGAGUUCAAGCAACAUAGGAUAAAAGAUGCUAGUUUUUCUGAUAUAUGAAGGUUUGAAUAGGCUAAGCCUAAAUCUAACGCACCUUGAUCUGCGCAUCAAAGUUCAGGGCAAAACCAAACUCAUUACUUCAGGAAAAACUAGUAUUCAGGAUGUUGUGUAGUUCAGUAGUUCCUGAAGAUGCAGUAGGAUAGCUUACCAGAAACAAAGCAAUGAAGUGUCAAUGGAAAUGAAAACGUACUUGCUCAUGAAGAUCCUUAACAGAUUCAAGCAGCAAAUGUGUCUGCAUAAAACAAAACUACUUAGAUUUAAUAUGCUUCAUUUUGAGGUACUAACUCAAGCAGAGCCAGAUUAAAAUACUGAAAUUAAACACUAUUCAUAAAUCUUAAAACAAAUGCGAACACUAUUCAAUAAAACAAAUCAGAUGCUUAUAAAAAGAAAAAGCGAAAGUAAACAAAAAAAAAGGUAUAGCUGGAGGAGUUCACUAAUAAUUGUGGUUUCUCGAUAUUUGGAUUAUAAAAUAAACCAUGAAACAUAGCAAUUAGCAUUAGAUCAUAUAGAGUUUUGAGAGAGGUGAAUGAAAACAACAAAUGAGGUACUUACCUAAGGGUUUUCAUGUCUGAAAGCACAUCGACGCUGUGACAGCUUCUAGUAUUAGUAAAGGUAGAGGACUAAGAAGGGAAGCCUGGUCCUUUUUAUGUUUAUUGUAACACAAUGUAAUUCCAAUAAGCAAAGGAACAGAGCAAAGUAAAACACCUUUCUAGAUCUGGUUUGUAUUAGAGUAGUUUGAAGUUCAUUUUCCAAAUGUACAAGGUCAGUCACAGUGAGACCAUCAGCAUUAGUUUCCUCGAAUUGCCUGUUAAGUUAAGACAGAAUCAGUCAUAUAAGCUAUCAGAAUCAGUCAUAUAAGCUCUAAGAAACAAAAGUAAAGAACAAGAUCAGUACCUUUCUGUUGCUUGUAGCAGUUCUCCCAUUGUCAUGAACCUUGAGUAUUUAGACAGCUAUUUCCACCUCAAAAUGAUUAGCAAACUUUCAGCACAAAAAAUAUAAAACUGAUUGUUAAAGAUAAAACUGAAUAACAACCAAAUGAUUACUGUGGAUACAUUGCAACAUACACAAUCAACAAGAAGAUAUUUCUUUGAUAGGUACAUUUUAGUUGAACAGCAGCAUGACUUUGAUGCACUAUGACAAAGAGUAAGUAUUAUUAAUAAUUUGGACCUUCGAGUCUGGGAGGCACGCCAGUGUGCAUAUUUAAUAUAUUUUUGGACUUGUUAAAAAUACAGGAAGUUACAUAUUAACUUAAGAACUUAUUUCAAGUAGAGAGGAUCUGGCUCAUUAGAUUAUAACUUGAUAGCAGUCAACUAAUCAAGUACCUCCGAGACCUGGAUUUCUGGAGAGAUCUCUUUUGCUGCUUCGACGUGCCUUUCGUAUCUUUGAAGUAUCCCUGUCAUACUGGAAAACAUAUUAUCAGAAAUGCUUGCUGGUGGAUAAGUAUAAGGAAAUAUUAUGCGGGAGCAGAUCAAUUUUGUAUAGGUUUUAACUUAAGAGUGUAUCAGAAAACGAACACUAUGUUGAUCACUUUGUUGUUUUAUAAAUAAAUACUAUAAUAUAUUUAUAAUGACAAAAACAUUUUCUUGGUUGCUAGGUUUAUACAUUGUUAUAACAAGUGAUGAUGAUGAAAACAGUACUCAACUUGAGCAGUAUUGUCAGUCACUUCUGAAUCAGAGAUCUAUGAAAAAUAACAUACUUCCUAUGCAUUGAGGAGACAAAAUCUAGCAGUAGAAUUGUCAUUUCCACAAUGGAUCACCAAAAGAAAAAUGGUAUGAUUGAAUUGCAUAUCUGUCGAUACUCAUAAAUGUAAAGAGUUUUUUCCCAACAAUGGGAGCCUUUGAAGUACCCUGGUAGUUCUUAAAGAUCUGUCGACAAACUCAAUUAUUUCACAAUCACACAACCAAACAUCUCACACAUGUUAGUCCAUUUUUUCCAAGUGCCUUGGGGACAAUUAGGAGUGACACAAUUAACUCAUGAAAACCUAACAACCAAUUUGUUAACUUAGCUCAUUAAAAGUUGGAAUAUGUAGCUCAAAUUGACCCAUAAGAAACCUUGUUACAAUAUUUUUAUAAGAAUGUUGUGUUUGAUACGGGUGCGGAUCUAGAGGUUGGAUCCUUGAUCUAAAUUUUAAUUGGGCUGAUAUGUAAUAUUUGUAUAAGAAUGUGGUGUCCGAUACGGGUGCAAAUCUAGAGGUUGGAUCAUUAAUCUAAAUUUUAAUUGGGUUGAUAUGUAACUCAAAUUGACCCAUGAGAAACCUUGUUACAAUAUUUUCUAUAAGAAUGUUGGUGUCUGAUACGGGAAUGGAUCUAGAGGUUGGAUCCUUCAACAACAACAACAUAUUCAGUAUAAUCCUACAAAGUGGGUUCUAGGGAAGAUAGAGUGUACGCAGACCUUACUCCUACCUCAGAGGAUGAUAGGUUUUUUGUGAUACAAGGGAAAAAUAGUCUAAAGUAGUCCAGGAAAAUAAGUAGAUAGUAACAGAGCAAUAAUUACAAUAAAAUAAUAUGAUAGUCGAAAUUAGAUCCUUCAUGAUCUAAAUUUUAAGAUUUGGAGGUACGGGUCAAGGUAUGGGUACAGGUGUAGGGAUGCAACUAAAAAUAAUUUAAAUAUCUAAAAAUAGAAUAAAAUUUAUUCCUAAAUUAUGGUGUUCUAAUUAUCCCAUUCUUUUGCCGUUGUUUUUGUUCUUCUCUGGUAUGCUUUGCAUUGCUUUUCUUAAGAGCUGCUAUGUUUUCUUCACUAUUAUCUUCCUUCUUUGUACUUGGAUUUGUCACACUUGAGUUGCGGAUCAUUCAAAAACAGUCUCUCUACCUCCACGAGAUAGUGGUAAGUGUCAAAUUUGUGCUGAAUGUCUCUCAAUGUUGAGAGUGUUGCCAUUAAAUAGAAAGUAUUCAAAGAUUACAUCUCCCAAAUCUGCCUUUCCUGUCUCUAAAGAUCAACUAUUCUAUCCUUUUGAAUCUACUAUUGUAUCCCUUAUAAUCUGCUAUUCUAUCUCUUUAAUUACUACUCCCUCCGUUUAAAAAAGAAUGACCUACUUUGACUUGACACAAAGUUUAAGAAAAUAGAGAAGACUUUUGAAUCUUGUGACCUUAACUUAAAGUUGUGUCAAAUGUACCAAAAUUUCCUUUAAUCUUGUGGUUCUAAACAUGCCAUGUGGAAAGUUAAAAUUAAAGUAUUGCCAGAAAAGGAAAGGGGUCAUUCUUUUCUAAACGGACUAAAAGGGAAAGUAAGUCAUUCUUUUUUAAACGGAGGGAGUAUAUCAUAUCUCUAUAAUUACAAAUAUACAACAAUAUAUAAUUACAUUAAUAUAUACAAUUUUUUUUUUUUGACUUGCACCGGGUAUCCGAGACUCUUCGAGUCCCGACUAAUCCCGAGGGUGCAGGCCCUCGGCAAAGAGUUUCCCGCAAGUGCACCAUGGGUAAUUCAGGGUUUUCACCCAGUCUGAUGGCCCUCAGAAAUUGUUUGCACCCAGUGGGAAUUAAUAUAUACAAUAUUCACUAUUAAUUCAUGAUCUUUAAGUUGUCUAUCAUGCUAACAUCCCCCCUCAAAUUGAUGUUGAUGGAUCAAUAAACAUCAAUUUACGUACUAGAAACUGAUGACGUUAUCGUGGCAUAGAUUUUAUAAACACAUCAACUAUUUGAAAAUCACUGGACAUGUGUGGAAGAGAAAUAAGUCCCUUUAGCUACAAAAAAACAGUAACUGAACCAACCAGUAACUGAACAACGGGUAUCGGGACAUCCCGCGCUGUCAGAAUCACUAAAAGCAUUAAGACGAAUAAGAGAACCACUAGGAAAGAAUAAUCCAUGAUUAGAUGUUCUUAGGAGAUAUCGAAUGAUGCGACGUACAGCCACCAAAUGGAGAUGACGAGGAGCUUACAUAAAUUGACUAACUUGUUAAACUGCAAAAGAGAUGUCAGGUCGAGUAAUAGUAAGGUAAUUUAAGCUCCAAACUAAUUGCCGAAACAUAGUUGGAUCAGGAAGAAGAUCGCCUUCCUCACGAUAAUACUUUACAUUCAAUUCUAAUGGAGUAUCUACGGAGGAGGAAUCUUGAAGACCAGCCAAAGAAAUCAGAUCCUGAGCAUAUUUCUAUUGGUUUAGAAACACACCCGAAGAAUCCCUAUGAACUUCCACUCCCAAGAAGUAUGUAAGAGUACCAAUAUCUUUCAUAUUAAAAGAAUCCUUAAGCUGUUGUUGCAAGCUAGUGAUUAGUGAAGAAUCAGUUCUUGUAAUAAUAAUAUCUAAAUAUACCAAAAAAACAAUACAACUUGUAGAUGUUCUUCGAAGAAACAAAGAUGAGUCAUAUUUGCCCUGUUCAAAAGAGAAUUGUAGCAAAGUAGAUCGAAAUUUAUAAAACCAAGCUCUGGGGGCUUGUUUUAAUCCAUACAAAGACCUUUUCAACUUGCAUACAUCUGAUGUAGGCGAUGAGAACAAACCUGGUGGACGUAUCAUAUAAAUAUCCUCUUUGAGAUCACCAUGAAGAAAAGCACUUUUGACAUCCAUUUGAUGAAAAGUCCAGUUUUGUGAAUCAGCAAUGGAAAUAAUAGUUCGCACUGUAGUCAUUUUUGCUACCAGUGCAAAAGUCUCCUCAUAGUUCAAACCAUACUCUUGUCUGUUACCAAGAACAACCAACCGAGCUUUGUACCGAUCAAGAGUUCCAUCAGAAUGAAGUUUAAUUGAAUAAACACAUUUACAUCCAACUGGAUGGACAUUUGAAGGACAUGAAAUAAUAUCCCAUGUGUCAUUUUCUUUACGAGCCAAAAGUUCUUCCUACAUGGCUUUCUGCCAACAUUCAUGCUUGGAAGCUUUGUGACUACCAAGUUGGAACAAAAAUGGUGGAUAAAGUAGAUGAAAAGCCAUACCAAUUAGGAGUACGAGAUACUCUGGUAGAUCACCGAGUGGGCUCAAGAGGAGCAGGCCUUGAAGAAUUCUCAGAUUCUAGUUGUGGAGUAGUUUCAGGUUGUAGAUCAAUAUCGGGAGGGGUAAAGUUGGCCGCCAACGUUCAUACAUAAAUCCAGGUUUGAAUUCUAAGAAGACAAUUACUCAAAAGUAGGAAGAAGAGAAGAAACAUGAGAUGACUCAACAUGAGUAGGAAAGAAAUACUGAUUCUCAAAGAAAACAUUUCUAGAAAAAUGAAAUUUAUUAGAACAUGGAUCAUAACAGAGUAAACCUUUCUGUCAAGUAGUAUAACCCAUAAAAACACAUUUAGUAGACUGAGCAGAAAGUUUAUUGCGCUGAGAAGCAGGAAGAUGCACAAAACAAAUACAAACAAAUGUAUGAAAAUUAUCAUAGCUUGAAUUUUUAUGAUAAAGACGAAAAUAUGGAGAUUCAAGAUUUAACACUUUAGAUGGUACUCUAUUAAUUAAGUAAACAGCAGUAGAUAAAGCUCCCACCCAAUACUUAGAUCGAGCAGAGGACUCAAUCAAUAAAGUACGAGUGACAUCUAAAAAAUGACGAUUUUUACGUUCAGCAACCCAUUUUGGUGUGAUGUAUAUGGACAAGGGCGAUGUGACAGAAUUCCUUUUUCAAGCAAAAUUUUUUUGGAUUCAUAAGACAUAUAUUCUCCACCAGAAUCAAAUCAUAAUAAUUUGAUGCAAGUAGAAAAUUGAGUCUCAAUAUAGGCCAAAAAUGUUUUGAAUAUGAAAAAUACCUCAGGUUUGGAACGAAGAAAAUAUACCCACGUAAAUCGACUAUAAUCAUCUAUAAAUGUCACAAAGUACUUAAAAUGAGCAUGAGAAACAAUUGGUGAAAUACCCCAAACAUCACUAUGAAUGACAUCAAAACACUUCGAGCACGACUACCAAAAUUAGAAAAGGAAGAAUUUUACUUUUGCCCAAUUUACAAGUAAAACAAUCAAAGGAAGCAAUGAAAAAUUGAUUUUUAUUCCCCAAUAAACCCGAAUUUGAUAAAUGAGACAACACAAUAGAAUUUGGAUGUCCUAAGCGCUUAUGUCAUACCUCAGUUGUACUAGGUGUAGAACAGUAGAAGUACAAGCAAAUGAUAGAACACGAGGAAUGAAAAAGUGUAUAGGAAACAAUCGUCCAACUUCAGGCCCCCUCGCAAUUAUCAUCCCCGACACCUGAUCCUGCACAAGACAACCAUUACGAGAAAAAUUCACAUCACAAUUAUUAUCUACCAAUUGUCCAACUGAAAUAAGACCAGUGGAGAGCUUUGGUGACACAAAAAUAUUGUUGAAAGUUUUAGUAAUAUCCCCAACCUUGGUAAUGGGUAAAUUACUACCAAUGGAAACUUGAAUUUGUGAUGGACCAUGAUAUUUACGAACAUUUUUUAGCAUACAAGCUGAGUUGGUCAUAUGAUUGGAAGCGCCAGAAUCAACAAGCCAAAAAUUAAAUGCAAGAUCAUUACCUUGUAGCCCCAAAGCUGAAAAGGCUGACAUGAUCAUUUGUCUUACCAUUUUAGGAGUAAGAACUUGCCCCGAAGAUGAGUUCUCAGUAGUGAAACCAUUUAUCCUAGCUUGAAAAACAUUGGCCUAACGAUUUUAAGGGCAUGUAGGACACUCUUUGGUAAUGUGUCCUUGUUGUUUGCAAUAAUUACAAAACUUCCUACCAUAAUUGCUAGCAAUAUGACCAUAUUCCUUGCAACUGUAGUAUUGAGUCCUAAUCAUAUCCCUAACCUUUCCUUUACCUUAGGUAGUAAAUGCAACAAUAACAUCAUCAACUUGCUUGAAAGCAUUUUGUCAUAUGCUACUCUUCACGGAGUAAUUCCCUAAAAUAAACAUUCAAGGAGGAAAAUGGGUCACGAUUCAUCAAGUGAGAGCGAGCACUCUCAAAUUUGGAACGUAACUUCAUCGAAAAUUGGUCUCGCUUGCUUUGCUCAUGAACUGCCUGAAUUACAGAAGGAGAUUCGGCAGGCAUUUUGGCAUAAACAAUAUCUGUAAAUUCAGUCCAUAAAUUUUGAAAUUCAAAAAAAUAAUCCUGAACGAAUUGAUAUCCUUGAGAGUAUCUAACAAUUUCAUACUCUAACUAAGAAUGUCUUGCGUUAUUGUCUUGGUAGUAAACCUUUUGUAAAUAAUCCCACAUAGCCUUAGCAGUCUUGUAAGACCUGAGAUUAAGAACAAUAAGUGGGUCAAUUGACCCCAAAAGCUAUGUCAUCAUCCGAGCAUUCUUAAUCUUCUAUUCACCUAACUUUGUAGGACCAAUAAAAGCAGGGUCGCUUUCAUCUAUAUGCCCCCGUAAUUCUUUUUCAGUGACAAAUAAUAGAAAUUGAAAUUUUCAGGAAAAAUAUUUUUUCAGUGAAGCAAACAUUGAGGAUUCAAAUUGAUGUGAAGCCAUGUUCUUAAAUAGCUACAAAAAUUAGAAACACUAUGACUCAAAAAAAACCCAACCAGAAUAACCAAGAUCAAAAGUCCAAGAUGUUGACAAACACCAAAAUUUUCAAAAAAAAUUGAAAUGAACCAAAAUGGACACUAUGAAACUAGACAGCAAAGAGAAGGCUCUGAUACCAUGUCAAAUUUGUGUUGAAUGUCUCUUAAUAUUGAGAGUCUUGCCAUUAAAUGGAAAGUAUUCAAAGAUUACAUCCCCCAAAAUUUGCCUUUCCUAUCCCUAAAGAUCAGUUAUUCUAUCCAUUUGAAUCUGCUACUGUAUCCCUUAAAAUCUGUUAUUCUAUCUUUUUAAUUACCAUAUCAUAUCUCUUUAAUUACAAAUAUACUACAAUAUCUAAUUACAUUAAUAUAUACAAUAUUCACUAUUAAUUCAUGAUCUUUGAGUUGUUUAUCAUGCUAACAGUAAGAUCUGCGUACACACUACCCUUCCCAGGCCCCACCUUGUGAGAUUUCAGUGGAUAUGUUUUUUGGUUAUAAACUGUGAAUUAUUACCAUUGAUAAACAAAAAAUUACAAACUAAAGAGAAGCUGAAUCUACAAGACUACAACCACCUCCUAGGGAGGGUGUUGUAGGUGUCUAGACCUCAAGCAAGAACCCCCAAAAACCCCACCAACUCAAUUACAUAAUUUUUGGAUUAAGGACAAGCACCUUUGUGCUCUUUGUGCUAUGCUGUACUUCUAGCCUAUGCUUAACCUCUUCUUGAAAUUUGUGCUACUACAAAAUUCGUACUUACAAUAGUAUCUCUAAAAAGUUCCAUAUUCCUAGCUUUCCAUGUAUGAUGAAACAUAGCCCCCAUACUGCGAUGAGGAUCUCUUUUUUCUUCUGCCUCCUAUGUCUUCUCUUCAACCAUCGGAUGGUCUGCUGAAAUCUCUAUUCUCCAAUUUGAGAACUUCUCCAUCUGAAAACUUCAUUCCUAACUACUGAGAUCUGUGAGCAUUAAACAAAUAGAUGUUUGGAGCUCUACACAUAGCCUUCAUUGUCAUCCACUAGAAUAUGCAACCUUUGGAGUCAUUUUUUAGUCAAUAGCCUAUCCUAUCUUGCUAUACAAACAAAUAAUUUAUACUUGGCAAGCAUCUAUCUUGUUCCAUAUCAAGUCUUCUCCUUUAGUCUGAUUAGAUUUUCCAACAUAACAUUGUACCUACUUGUCAUUGAGUAUGCACCAUUAGCAGUAAAAGUGUAUCUAUUGUUCUGAUACUAGCGAGUCGUGUCAAGUUUGAGUGUGUUCAAUUUCUUCCAAUACAAACUAUUAUUUAUUAGUGGAAUGUGCUUUCCCAUAUACUCACUACCUACUUUAUAUUUCAUGCACCCAUUUGACCCAUAAACUAUCCUUUCUGUCAAUUGCCAUAACAAGUUCCCUACUACACCCUUUUAAGUUCAGUCCAUCACACUUCUUUGGGAUACACACCUUAUCCCAAGGCAAUAAAUUGACUUUCCUCUUCUCAUCAACUUUGCCCCAGACACUCUCUGCACUUUAUGUCCACCAUCUUUAGGACACUUGGAGGUAGUAUGAACACAUUACCCCAAAAACUAUAAAUAGAAAAAACUCAAGAAGUACUUUGGUGACUUUUUUUAAAACCAAAAAAGUACUCUAGUGAUGAUUUGCAACCUUCCUGCUUAGGACAAAUGUUUGAAAUGGGCACCACUUAUUCUAACAGAGAUUGUCUCAACUAGUUGAUGGCACUCCAUUUUUUCUAUUUCUUAGAUGUCAAAGUAAGCCCAAGGUAUUUAAUAGGCGAAGUACCAAUUGAGAAAUCAGUGAAAGCUAGAAUUUCAACCUGAGUAACCUCAUCUACACACACAUAAAAAAAAAGGCAGCCCGGUGCACUAAAGCUACCGCUAUGCGCGAUGUCCGGGGAAGGGCCCCACCACAAGGGUGUAUCGUACGCAACCUUACCUUGCAUUUCUGCCAGAGGCUGUUUCCAAGGCUUGAACCCGUGGCCUCCCGGUCACAUGGCAGCAACUUUACCAGUUAUUCCAAGGCUCCCCUUCUGACCUCAUCUACACAAACCAAAAAAAAUGUUAAGACUUAUCCGCAAUAGCUACUAAGUCAGUGACACUGCAGAAGUGGUUCAGUGGUUCAUUUCAUUACCUUUCAAUUGACCUUAUGUUUCCUUUAUAUAAGAACAUCAAAUCAUGAACAAGGUGAAAUUUGUGGGCUUCAAUUCCUAGCACAUAGGAUGAAAAUUAAAAUUAGAAAGUUCACACAUCUUAUUCAAAGUUUUAGCGAGAUACUCCAUUGCAGGGAUACAUAAUAAAGCAGAUGGUGGAUCUCCUUGUCAGAGUCCUCUUCUUGAUUCAAAAUAGCCAUGCCCUUCACCAUCUACUUUAAUAGUGUAUUUUUUGUUGUUAAAACACAAACAAUCGCCAACUCAAUAAAGGAUGCAGGGAAUCCAUAUCUAGCCAGUGCUUCUUACAUAAAUCCUACCUUACCAUAUCAUAAGCCUAUCUGAGGUCAAUCUUCAUCAAACAUCUAGUAGAGGUUUCCCAAUUAUAAUGUCUCGUUAAGUCAUAGCAAAUGAAUGUAUUGCGGACUAACGAUCUUUCUUCAACAAAGGCAGCCUAAUUUUCCGCUACCAAAUGAAUUAGUGCCUUUCAUAGUCUCCCUCAAAGAAGCUUGAAGAUACAAUAUGGUUUUGGGCUAAAUUGGCUAACUAAAAAUGGAACAAUAACCUUAGGAAUUAGGCAAAUUAUAGUAGAAUUGAUCUGUUGGAGCAGUCUAUCAUUACUGAGGAACUAGAGGAUAGCAACUGUCACAUCCUCUCCAAUCACACACCAUGCUUUCUUAAAAAAGUCACCCCCACAUCCAUCUGGUCUAAGACUCUUGGUGCUGGCAAUAGUAAACAUUGCAUCUUUCACAUCCUUUGCUAGACAGGACUGUAUCAAGUCUAAUUGUUUUUUAAAGGCUAGUGUAUGACCAUUCUUGAGGAAGCUAUUAAAGCUUUGAUGUUAUCUUGUUCUUUCCUACCAAGGAGGUUUUGAUAAUAUUCCAUAGAAAUAUUGGCAUAGAUAGUGGAUCAGUCUGUAAUACACAUCUUGCCUGUCUCUUAGUUUGGUAACUGCCUAAUGCAAUUUCCUACGUUUAAUGAUAUAAUAAGAGUACCUUGUGUUAUCAUCACCAAGCUUGAUCCAAGUUGCUUUGCUCCUUUGAUGCAAGAACAUUUUGGCUAAAUAGGAUGAUCUUCUAAAUUUCUGACAUUGUAACUUCUCCCGUUCAUGUAAACCUUGAGUUAGAGGAUCUCUUUGCAGUGUGUCUUGGCUUGACUUAUACCUCCCUAUUUAUUCCAACAUCUGUUAGGGCUGUUCUAAAGUUUUUCUUAUUCAGCUCCUUCAACCUGUAUAUAAGGGACUUUAGCUUUUUAACUAUCUAUAACAUCAUGCAUCAGUAGUGGGAGUCCCCCAUACCACUUUCACUCUAUCAAUAAAACAACGAUGACUUGACGAAACAUUGCAAUACUUGAAUGGUCUAUUAGGUCUCUUCUAGUAUUAGUUGUUUAACCUUGAUGAGUUGAUGGGGCAGUGGUCACUGUGAGGAAGUUGGCAUUAUAGUCAGUCUUUUAAUUCCACCAUUCAUUAUUCGUAAAGACCAAUCAAUCUUAGAAAAAAAUUUCUAUUCUCUCCUUGUUUAUCACUCCAUGUAAAUCUAUUUUCCUUUGAGGGGAGCUCUAGCAUUUCACAAAUCUCCAAAUAGAUUUGAAAAUUCACUACCUCCGGAACAGAGACUGGACUCCCUCCUACUCUAUCUUCCAUAUUCAAAAUGGAGUUGAAAUCACCCAUUAUGAUCCAAGGUUUAUGACAUCCAUUCUUAAUUGUUUCCAAAUAGCUCCAUAGGGUUCUUCUUUCUUCCUUUGUAUUGUGCCAUAAACUACUAUCAGAAGGAACUCCACAUUCAAUAUUAUAUUCAGUACCUUAAAUGUAAUAGCGUGUGCAUUACCAUCAAUGUAAGUUACUGUGAAGUAAUCUGGUCUCCAUGUUAGCCACAUCCUCCCAUUAUAAUGGUAUUCCAGAUUAGUAAUAUAAGUCAAUUCAUGGAAAAGUUUAUCAGCUACCUGCUCAAUCUUUUUUUACUUUUAUCUUUGUAUCCACCAAUCCUAUUAGUCCUGCUGAUACCUUUAUUGUAGAGAAGUAGAACCUUCUUCUUAUUAGGGCCAUUUAGGCCCCAACAUUCCAACAAAGUAGAUUAUACAUGGCCAGAAGGAAGAGUUUGAGUACCUCCCUCAUAUCCGACCUUCCAACUAGUAUAUUAUCCUUUUCAUCUUCUUCUUUGUCUAACUAUUGAAAUGGGUUAUUGGAAUGGAUUCUAUUGUGUGUUCUCAUCUGCUGCUUACUUGUGUUCAAAGGUAUUAUUCAUCCAUCCUUCAUUGGUUGUGUUUUGUUAGCAUGCGCACUGGAGCCCUCUUUUGAAAUAUUGUGCAUAACUACUUGCUGACAAGUAACUUUUCCAUGUGAUGUGCUUCUAGUACCCACCACUGUUGGUUCCUUGGUGCUCAUAUCUUUCCCCUUGCCUUUGUCAAUGGCCAUCCUUUGAGCUCUAGUAUUUAAACUCAGGGCUAAAGAAAGAAUUUGACCCAAUUAGGUACAGAGAGCAGUUCAUCCCUCAAGAAUUCCAUAUCUGCAGUCCAAGCCCUUCACUAUGAAUGGUAUGUUGUCAAAGUGGUAUAUACCACCCUGAAUGACUUCAUUUAUCCCAUAGCAAUAUGAAAUCUAACCAGCAUAAUUCCAUUUUUAAUCUGCACUUUAUUGAUGCCCAUUGUUGUUUGACCUUUGUAUGUCAAAGUUAUUCCAAAUUGAAGUUUUACCCCCCACCCCCCUACAUUUAGGUUUGCUUCUACCUUCUCUGCCCAAGAUAACCUCUGAACUAUAUCCAUGGAUUCUCCCUUCUGGAUCUGACUUGGAUUUGUACCAUUGCCCUUAUUUGUUACAAUUGAUUACUCCGUAGAUUCGCUGUUCCAUUGUCUUCUGGAUGUUCUUUAACGAUGUUCCUUGCCUCUUCUAGUUCGUUGUUUCUUUGAGCUUCUAGAGGCAACUCCACUGAUGUAGAUCACUGUUCCAUUGACAUCCAGAUGUCCAGCUUCUGCAACUUCAUUCUCCGGAAGCAAGCUCUCUUGAGUUUCCUCCACCGACAAGGAUUUUUUAUACUCUUGCACUUGGUUCCCCUUCUUCUUCACCUAUCACCACCCUUGGCAGCCGCUUACUGAUAUUUUAGAGUGGGGGAAUACAUGCCCUCUUCCCCAUGGGAGGCUUACAUUAAGGUGACCUACACCGAGAGAGAAAUAUCUCCUUAUAUUUUCAUGGGGUAUGAUGUUGUGUUGGACUAAUUGGAAGAAAAGUAAUGCAUGAAUGUUUGAGAGAAAGUCUAAAUCAGUAAUUAUUAAGUAGAUAUGCAUCUCCUUACUGUUAUUUUUUGUGCAACAUGACCAUUGCAAAUGAUAUAAAGGUUAUGAUAGACCUCUUGAGUUGAUUACACAUUAAACAGUGAUGUUGACCAGUAAAGAUCUGGACAUCUUUUUGUUGCGUACUUUUUAAUACAAAUUCUUUCUAAUAAUAGGAAAGACAUAUGCUUAAAUUAUGAUUUUACCCUAGCUUUUGUUUUUCUUUUUUCUUUUACAUGUCUCCAAUAUCUUUAUCUAUUAUGGUCAACGUACCCAAAAUCUAUUGACCAUAGCCGAUAUGGAUCCCACACUCAUGUUGUGUCAACACGGAUGCAACACUUGGAAAUAAAGAGUCCGCACAACUUAGCAUUAAAUAGCUCAACCUGUUUUGAUCAGCCCAGCCUACCUAUUUAACCUCUAAGAAUACAAUGAUUCGAAAAGUAAGCCUUAAGAUAGGAAAAAGAGAGUAAUUUGAUGUCUGCCAGUCAACAAAGCCUUGCACUUUCUUUGGGUCCAUCCCCACUUGGUUCUAAGUGACCAAAUGUCCAAGGAAUUUGAUUUCCUUCCAGGAAAACUCAUACUUACCAUCUUCACAUAAAGCUAAAGCUUAUACUCCCGCAAACGAGACAAUACUUUGCGUAAAUGUUUUAGGUGUGCUCAAGAGAGAGAAUGUAAUCACAAUCGCGUCUAAGUGCACUACAACGCUAUCCAAAUACUUAAACAAAACAUUAUUCAUUAAACCACGGAAAGUUAUCAAGGCAUUAGUCAACCAAAAAUGCAUUACAAGAAUAUCAUAUGAAUCAUACCUAGUUACACAAUUAAUUUUAGGCUCAUUACCUUCUGCUAUUCUAACUUACCAAUUAACAGACCUAAGAUCUAACUUAGUAAACUAGCAGGCUUUGCUAAGCUUGUUCUAAGAUCUUGCAUCAACGGAACCAAAUAUUUUUUCUUCAUAGUUAUCUUGUUCAAAACCCAAAAGUGCACUCACAUCCUUAGUGAUCCAUCUUGCUUCUUUUGGCAUAGAAUGAGAGGGGUAAGGGGGGUAUACACCAUCUCCCCAGACACCUCCUGUGGGAUUACACUAUGUAUGUUGUUUUUGUUGCCACCCACUGUUGGAGUAGCAGUAAGAUUGGGAACUGAAGCUUGGAUCUGAUUUGGGAAGCCGUGGAUUAUAGUGUAAUAAUUGUAAUUGCUUCAUCAUUACGCUUGAGAUUCCUAGAACAUAUCCCGUCAAUGCUUGAGGGACUCAAGUCAUGGAUUAUAAUGCUUGACGAAAUCCACAUCCAGUCAGUGCUUCUUUUAUGAAGGGCUGCUUGAUUAUCAUACAAAAGUGUCAUCUUAUUGAUGUCUUCAAACUUCAAUUCUCUAAACAAAUGUUUGAUCCAAACUAGCUCACAUGUUGCUAUAGCGAUUGCUCAAUAUAUUAUACUUUUACACUAGAUCAAGCAACCACAUCUAGUUUCUUGCUCUUUUAAGACACGACACUACCCCUAUUAAAAACAUGAUUUCCAGACGUUAAACAUCUAUCAGAAUGUGAUCCUAGCUACCCACGUUUGUGCAUCCAAUGAUUUGUUCAUGCCCUUGAUCUUAGAAAAAUAGUCUUUUGCCCAGGGCUAAUUUACAUAUCAAAAUAUAUGGAUUCUGUGCUUGAUUAUCUAGUUCAAGGAAGGGAAAAGAUAACAUUUUCUUGGUAAUCUCAUACCAUGUUAUAAAAGUGAGAUGCCACUAAUGUUGGCUGACUUAUUGUUAACUUUAUGCUUAAAUUGCAUGGGUUUUGUAGAACCAUUAAUAGUGAGGGGAUUUUAAGUUUCUUAGAUCGUUUUAGAAAAGGUCAUGGGAUAAGCUUGGCACCAAAUUGAUGCCCUAUUACACUUAUCACUUUCAUAUCGACGGUCAAACUGAAGAGCUUAAUGGUACAUUAAGUAAUGCUUAUGUAACACCUCUUACCUUCGCACUAUGGUUUGAAUUGUUCGAUGCAUGAAAUUAGACUUGAACUUGGUGAAUUUGGUUGUACCUAGAUGUAAAUUUUAAGGCUCAAGUGUGGGAAGUGUGUGUGAACGAAGUUCGUAAGGGAACUCUAGCAACAAGUUGGGUUGGAAGAUUCUCCAUUGAUUAAAUGCCCGUAUAAGCUUGUGCAUGGUUCAACUUUAAACAAGUAUAUCUCCGAAUAUAUUUGGAGUAAGACGGUAUGCUACCUAGAAAAUUAAAGUCAUAUGAAUCUAGUUUCCGAGGCAUCAAACUGUUUGUCAUUUUGAACUUUUCCACAAGGAGAUGUGAUUGUUUUACCGGAAGGUAAGAGAAAAAAAUGUCCACGACCUUCCCUACAACUUAGCAGAGUUGUCCGUGACCUCACAAAGAUGACUCCAACCUAGCAGAGAUAUGUGCGACCAGUAUUGUUGGGUCCACCUAUAAAUAGCCCAAAUGAGGUCCUGACUUCAUUUUCAACUUUUUUCUUUCACGUGAACGUCUCAAGGUUUCCCAAGGUAAAUUUUUCUCCUAUCAUCCUAAGGCAAGGUAAGAGUUCUCCCUGAUCUUACAACAUGAUUCCUUUAACUUAUAGACAAUUCUAGCAUCAUUGUUCUUCUCCACGCUACAUUUUUCACGUCUAUGAGUGUUUCUCCAUGAACGAGUUAGGGUUUAUGAUGAAAAUCGCAUGUCUUGUUUUUAUUGGUUCCUUUGAACUUCAAGAAUUCUUUAUGAUAUUAUUCAUGUUGGGUUCAAGUUAAAAGUGUGAAUGGAAAAUGGAGGAAAUUAGUGGAGGAAAAAAUGAUAUCACACUUAAAAAGGAAAGUGUACUCAAAAAUAAGGAAAGCCUACUGUGGGAGAAAAAAACUUUCAUGUGUUCUUAUUAAGAAACACAUCUCCACAUGGAUAGUGAGGCAAGAACAAAGAGGUGCCUCGCGCCGUAGUCUUCGGCGCUCGCUCAGCUUUGGCUUUGGCUUUGGUAGUGUCAAAUGAUCGAUGAGAUUAAUUUUUUGGACAAAAUUUAUUUGAAACUUGAAAAAAUAUAGUCCGAAAAUCCAAGGAAAAACGCAAUGAAUUUUUUCUCCGUUAACGUGCAUGCAGAAACGCUGAAAGUUACUCGGAAGAGACAACUUUUCGAGUAAAAGACACACUGUUUCGGGAAAAAGGAUGACUAUUUGGAUGGUUGUAACUGUUCGGAAAAGACAUAUUGUUUCGAAUGGACAGACAUGACUAUUCAGAAAAGAUACACCUUUCCGAUGAACCAUUGCCUCCUUUCCUAAGGGGCACUUCAUGGCUAUAUAAAACUGCAUUUUUCCACAGCUUCAGUACAAAAAAUUUUCUGAAUUACAAACACUUCUGGUCUUCUAAAAACUCUGUGUGAUCAUCUCCCGUUGAGUGAGUUCGAAGUCGAUAGUUUGAGGUACUGCUGCUGUCGGAUUGUAAGCCAUUUUAGCCUGGGAGAAAAAUUCCGCAACCUCGGGUACUUGAGGGGAAUUAUUUCCUUAUGGACACUCUGUAAAGUUGGAGGACUUGGCUUUAUUUCUGUUUCAUCUUAUUUCUUAAGUGUAACACACUUCUUUGAUAGUUCGUAUUGAACUUGUGUUGAAGGUGUUGAAAAACUUCAUAAGUGUUCUUGAAAAAAUCUUGAACUUGUGUUGAAGUUUAGUGCAUAAACAUACAGAUUUUGUGUUACCCGAAACAGUGAUUUGAAGACAUAAAAACUUCAUUACAAGUUAAAUGUCAUUCGGUUAACGAUUGAAAAUCAUAAAACUUCAUCGUUAAACUAGAAACAAGGGGUGUUUAAAGUUGCUACAACUUUACAAGUAGUAUUUCAAUAUACUAAAGUUGACUGUGUUUUUGUGAUAGGAAAAUGACUACUGACAGUCAUGUGAAUGAUGCUGGGACGAGUGUGGCAGCAACAAAUAUUGCUACAACGAGUCGUACGAGUGCUCCGCAGGCAAUGACACCAGCGGAGAAACUCAAAAAAUUCGCGGGUGUUGAUUUUAAAAGGUGGAAACAAAAGAUGUUCUUCUACCUUACAACCUUGUGUCUUCAAAGAUUUACAUAUGAAAAAGCUCCAAAGUUCCCCGAAGGAACUUCGAACCAGGAGCGAUUUGUCAUUAUGGAGGCGUGGAAACAUUCUAAUUUCCUAUGUAGGAAUUACAUUCUAAGUGGCCUUCAAGAUGACCUAUACAAUGUGUAUAGUGGAAUGAAGACGUCAAAAGAGUUGUGGAGUGCACUGAAAAGAAAAUACAAGACUGAGGUGCUAGAACCAAGAAGUUCUUUGUUGCAAGAUUCCUUGAGUAUAAAAUGAUUGACAGCAAGUCUGUUGUAUCUCAAGUACAGGAACUGCAAGUUAUCAUCCAUGAUCUUCUUGCGGAAGGUAUGAGUUUUCUAAAUACCUUAGUAGAACAUGUUAAAAAUGUUCUUAAUGUUCACAUGAACUUUAUUAUAAGUUUGGCUGUGAACGAGGUGUUUCAAGUUGCGACAAUAAUAGAGAAGUUGUCACCUAUGUGAAAGGACUUCAAGAACUACUUGAAACAUAAACGAAAGGAGAUGACAAUCGAAUAUCUCAUAGUAAGGCUGCGCAUUGAAGCAGACAACAAAACCGCAGAAAGGAGGUCGAAAGGAAAUUCUGCAAUGAGUGGAGCAAACAUUGUAGAAGACGACUAAAACAACUCGAAAAAAUGAAAAAAAGCUGAACAAGAAAGCAAUCAACCUAAGAAAAAUUCAAGGGAAAAUGCUUUAAUUGUGGCAAGAUUGGCCACAAGUCAACAGAUUGUUGUGCCCUAAAGAAAGGCAAGAAGAAGGACCAAAUAAAUAAGGCUGAAUCCAAGAACGAAAUGGACGAUCUGUGUGCCAUGCUGUCUGAAUGUAACUUGGUGGGAAAUCUUCGAGAAUAGUGGAUGGAUUCCGGUUUCACCAACCACGUUUGUGCAAAUAAAGAGUUGUUUGCUGCAUUUGCUCUGGCUCAAGAAGAAGUGAAAUCUAUAUGGCAAACUCCGCAACUGCAAAAGUUGAAGGAACAGAAAAAGUCUGCCUAAAAAUGACAUUAGGAAAAAUGUUGACUCUUAAUAAUGUCUUGUAUGUACCGGAGUUAAGAAAGAACUUGAUUUCUGUAUCACUUCUUGAUAAAAAUGAUUCAAAUGUGUAUUUAUUUUCAGAAAAAUUAUACUUAGUAAAUGAGAAGUGUACGUAGGAAAAGGCUACCUCACUGAGGGCCUAUUUAAGAUGAAUGUAAUAAAUGUUGAAAUCGAUAAAAGUUCUAUUUCUUCUUACUUUCUUGAGUCUAAUGAUUUGUGGCAUGAACAAUUAGGACAUGUCAAUUACAAAACAAACUAAAAUUUGAUUAACUUAGAAGUUUUGCCAAAUUUUGAGUGCAAUAAAUCAAAAUAUCAAAUGUGUGUGGAAUAAAAGUAUGCUAAGCAUCCAUAUAAGUUCGUUGAAAGGAAUUCCAAUUCCAUAGACUUAAUCCACACUGACAUUUGUGAUAUGAAGUCAACACUAUCUCGUGAUGGGAAAAAAUAUUUUAUAACUUUUAUUGACGAUUGCACUAGAUACUGUUAUGUCUAUUUGCUAAACAGUAAGGAUGAAGCAAUAGAUGCGUUUGGGCAAUAUAAAACAGAAGUUGAAAAUUAGUUAGAAAAAAAGAUCAAAAUCAUAAGAAGUGAUAGGGGUGGAGAACAUGAAUCUCCCUUUGCGAAAAUAUAUGUAGAGAAUAGAAUUGUCCAUCAAACUACGACCCCGUAUUCACCUCAAUUUAAUGAAAUUGUGGAAAGAAAAAAUCGAACCUUAAAGGAAAUGAUGAAUGCCUUACUAAUAAGUUUAGGUUUACCGCAAAACUUGUGGGGAAGCUAUCCUUACAGCUAACCGAAUCCACAGUAAGACAUUAUCAAUUCCAUAUGAAAAAUGGAAAAAAAGAAAAUCCAACUUGAAAUAUUUCAAAGUGUGGGGUGUUUAGCGAAAGUCCAAAUUCCUAUGCCUAAAAAGGUCAAAAUAGGACCUAAAAUAGUGGACUGCGUAUUCAUAGGAUAUGCUAAAAGUAGUAAAGCAUGUCGUUUUUUGGUUCAUAAAUCCAAACAUUUGGAUAUCAUUGAAAAUACGGUAAUUAAAUCAGAUAAUGCUGAAUUCUUUGAACACAUUUAUCCAUAUAAAACUAGACAUAAACAAUCUAGUGAAAGGUCUAAACGACCUAGAGAUGAACCAAGCGAGGAUGUACAUAAUAAUGAGAAUCCAAUAUGUAGUACACAUCAAAGAACGUCAACUUCGUUUGGAUAAGAUUUUGUAACAUUUCUCUUAGAAAAUGAGCCUCAAACAUUUAAAGAAGCGAUGACGUCCUCGAACUCAUCCUUUUGAAAAGAGGUUGUCAAUAGUGAGAUUGAUUCAAUCUUAAGUAAGCAUACGUGGGAGUUGGUUGAUCUUCCUCUAGGAAAUAAACCUUUAGGUUCUAAAUGGAUCUUUAAAAGGAAAAUGAAAGCGAAUGGUACUAUUGACAAAUACAAGGCAAGACUUGUAGUAAAUGGCUUUAAAUGGAAGGAAGGCCUUGAUUACUUUGAUACAUACUCGCUUGUAACGAGGAUAACGUCUAUUCGGAUGUUAAUUUAAUUGCCUUGGCGGUGGUAUAUGGUCUUGAAAUCUAUCAAAUGGAUGUGAAAACAACAUUCCUAAAUAAAGAAUUGGAGGAAAAAAUUUACAUGGAAGAGCCUGAAGAUUUUGUGGUUCCAGGUAAAGAAAAGAAGGUGUAUAAACUUGUUAAGUCACUUUAUGGACUAAAACAAAUACGUAAACAGUGGCAUGCAAAGUUUGACCAAACCAUGUUGCAAACGGAUUUAAGAUAAACGAAUGUGAUAAAUGUUUUUACAUUAAAGACACUCCAAAUCACAAGGUCAUUAUUUGUUUGUAUAUGGAUGAUAUGUUGAUCAUUAGUAGAGACAUUUCUGACAUAAAUGCAACGAAACGAAUGCUUAAGAGCAAGUUUGAUAUGAAAGAUCUUGGAGUUGCGGAUGUGAUCUUAGGAAUAAAUCCACAGAACUCCACAAGGAUUGGCAUUGUCACAGUCUCAUUACAUUGAAAAGGUACUUGAAAAGUUCAAGUAUUUGGAAUUUGGUAUUGCCAGGACUCCAUUGAACGUUAGCUUUGCAUUUCAAAAGAAUGAAGGUGAAAGUGACUCACAGUUGGACUACGCAAGAGUGUUAGGAUAUUUAAUGUAUAUCAUGAAUUGUACACGGUCAGACAUAGCAUGUGCUACUAGUAAGUUAAGUCGGUACACGAGUAAUCCCAAUAAAAAUCAUUGGAUGGCAAUGAAAAGUUUUGGGGUAUCUUAAAUACACUCAAGACAAUGUUUUGCAUUAUAAUAAAUAUCCCUCGGUAAUUGACAGAUAUAGUGAUGCAAAUUGGAUCACCGGAUCAAAUGGAGUAAAAUCCACGAGUAAAUAUGUAUUUAUUAUAGGUGGAGGAGCAGUCUUUUAAAAAUUGUCCAAACAGACAUGUAUUGCUCGCUCCACGAUGGAAUCUGAGUUUAUCGCACUAGAUAAAGCCAGUGAAGAAGCUGAAUGGCUCCGAAAUUUCUUAGAAGAUAUUCCUUAUUAGCCCAACCAGUGGCACCAGUAUUUAAACACUGAUAGCCAAGCGACGAUAGGUAGGGCAGAGAGCAUGAUGUAUAAUGGUAAAUCUCCUCAUAUAAGACGAAGACAUAAUACCAUUAAAGAACUUCUCUCUAGUGGAAUUAUCACUGUCGACUAUGUGAAGUCAAAGCAUAAUGUGUCGGAUCCACUUACAAAAAACUUAUCUAGAGAGGGAGUUGAGAGAACAUCCAAGGGAAUGGGUUUACGGCUUAGGAUAAGUCAGCAUGGCGGUAACUCUAGUUCACAAACUGGAGAUCCCAAGAGCUAGGUUCAAGGAGAUCAAACAAAGUUAUGUCAGACAGGUUCAACAUUGUCAAUAUAUCCAACCUAUUCUCAUGAUGUAGACAUUGUUUAGGAAACAAGGAUAAGACUUAUGGUGUGAAGUCUUUUAAUGAUUAUCUAAAUUUGGUAGAUUUUACCAAAUAGUUUAAUUUAUAGGAUUGAACGUUUAGAAAUCACCUAUGUGAGGACAAAGUGGAAGACGCUUCAAGGAGAAUGUUAGUAAAGGCCUAUUCUCUAAGCUCUCAUGAAAUCGGGACGUGUUCAUGACUGAAACAAACAAAAUCGUGAGAACCAUAAACGGUAAAAGGUUGGUUGUGUGACAUGUGUUGUCUAGGUGUACAUUAAAGCUCGACGGUUCAAAACUAUCAAAUCUACCGACUGACCGAAUGCAUCCGAUGCAUGUUCACUACGGAAAGUUCAAAGGGAAACCCCUUUAUCCAAAUGCAAUCAGUCUUUGCUUGAUGAUCACAUACUUGUCCGUAAAAAUUUUAAAAAGAGUGGUCAUUCCCCAUUCAUGUGGGGGAUAGUUGGGUUCAAGUUAAAAGUAUGAAUGGAAAAUUGAGGGAAUUAGUGGAGGGAAAAAUGAGAUCACACUUAAAAAGGAAAGUGUACUAAAAAAUAAGGAAAGUCUAUUAAUUCUCCCACAUUGGUGGGAGAAAGAAACUUUCAUGUGUUCUUAUUAAGAAACGCAUCUCCACAUGGAUAGUGAGGCAAGAAUAAAGAGGCCUCGCACCGUUGUCGUCGUUGCUCGCUUGACUCCGGAUCUAGUCCGAAAAUCCAAGGAAAAACACAAUAAUUUUUUCCUUCAUUAACGUGCAUGCAGAAACGCUGAAAGUUGCUCGGAAGGGACACAACUUUUCGAGUAAAAGACACACUGUUUCAAAAAAAGGGAUGAUUGUUUGGAUGGUUGUAACUGUUCAGAAAAGACACACUGUUUCGAAUGGACAGGCAUGACUAUUCAAAAAAGAUACACUUCUUCGAUUAAACAAUGCUUCCUUUCCAAAGGGGCACUUCAUGGUUAUAUAGACCUGCAUUUUUCCACAGGUUUAGUACGAAAAAAUUUUUGAAUUACAAACACUUCUUGUCUUCUAAAAACUCUGUGUGAUCAUCUCCCGUUGAGUGAGUUCAAAGAAUUCGAUAGUUUGAGGUACCGCUACUGUCGGAUUGUAAGCCAUGUUAUCCUGGGAGAAAAAUUCUGCAACCUCGGGUACUUGAGGGGAAUUAUUUCCUUAAGGACACUUCGUGAAUUCGGAGGCCUUGGCUUUGUUUCUGUUUCAUCUUAUUUCUUAAGUAUAACACACUUCUUUGAUAGUUCGUAUUGAACUUGUGUUGAAGUUUAGUGUAUGUUAGUGUACCCGAAACAACAAUUCACUCUCUACGGUAUCCCUCUCUCAUGAAUUCUAUGACUUUCAUCAUUAAGUUCGAAAAUAUAAGAAAUAUGUUUUGUCCCGAAAUUCGAGUUUGAUGAUUCUCGUAAGGAUUUUACUUUUGAUAUGACUUUUGUGACUAUGAACCAUGAUUCACGAUGUGAUGUCUAUAAGGAAAAAUGACUUGUGAUUUAUGAGCUUUUCAAGCUAAAACAUGAUAUGAGCUGGUCCUUUCAUGUUUAAGAUUUCAAAUACCCCUCAUGAAUAAUACUCCUAAUUACGAUAAACCACUUGUGAAUUUGGUCAUCACUGGUAUGCGCCUAUCUAUGGAUCUCUAAGUACCCUCAUUGGUCAGGUAUUUCCAAAGUCGAAAUCCUUAAAUAAGCACUCUUAGAGUCUCUAUCUAUCAAGUCAUAUAUGUGGGUUUACUAUCCAAAGUUCUUAUAUGCCUUAUGAAAUCUCAAGAUGUUUUAUCACCACAUUUACAUAAAUAGAGUUUAUGACAUUUCCCCACACCAGAGGCAGCUCAAAAUAAUUGGAGGCCUAAAGUGAAGUUUUAAUUAGAGGAUUAAAUCUUAAACAAACUCCAUACAUAUUCUAUUUGAAAUCUAAUUUUGUUUUAGAUGUAAACUUACUACUAAAUAUUUAUUAUAAUCAAUUUAUUUGAUUAAUUCUUUUUUUUCAAUUGUUAGUUUUAGGUAGAAUUUAUCAAUUUACUAAAAACAUCCUUCCACGGAGAAAUCACUACGAGAACAUGACAAUUUAAGAUAAAAAUGAUAGUGUUAAAAUCAUAGAAUCCGAUUUAAGAAGUUGAUAACUUGGCAUUUCCUACUUUUAUGUGUCUUCUUUGAUGCUUGAAAACCUAAGAAGGAAAAAGAAAGAAUUUGUAAUUCACUUUGUUCAACGCUUUUUGACUAUUCGAGAUAAUUAAAGAUUUGAAGAAAGAGAGUAAAAAGAAUAAUACAGUGUGUGUGUGAGUGUUAGCGGACAUAAUGUAAAAAGGUAAAACAACAUAUUCUUUUUUAGGGGGGUAAACAGGGGCGGACCCACGUGUUUUUUUUGAGUGCUCCGGCACCCACUAGACUCGACAUAGAUUAGGUGUAAUUAUAUAAGAAAUACAAAAUAAAUAAUAUAAUAUAUUAAAAUGCACCCAGUGAACAAACACAUAACUGGGUGCAGUGGUUUGAGGUUGGACUUCCAUAUCCAGGUCCCUGGGUUCGAUUCCCUGUAGCUGCACAUUACUUUUUAUAAGUUUUUAUGCUACUUUACAUUAGUAUUUGCACGCACUAAGCUUCUUUAUAUAUUAUUUAUUUAUAAAUAAUAUAUUAUUAAAUAUUAAUUACAGAAUCCCUUAGUUGAUUUUUUUUUUGAAAUCUUAAACAUGAAAGGACCAGCUCAUAUCAUGUUGAUUCUCGUAAGGAUUUUACUUUUGAUAUGACUUUUGUGACUAUGAACCAUGAUUCACGAUGUGAUGUCUAUAAGGAAAAAUGACUUAUGAUUUAUGAGCUUUUCAAGAUAAAACAUGAUAUGAGCUGGUCCUUUCAUUAUUAAACAUGAUGCGGAGUUCAUUUUUGAUGUAGUUCAUGGAAGAGAAUGCUCGUUCCACAGAAGCAGUAGCAACGGGAAGAAUGAGAGUCAACUUGAUGAGUAAAUAAACAAGAGGCCA
rnacentral:lncRNA from 1 species